CCAGAAACAUGAGCGCUUUUCUGAAGGGUCAAUCUGAACUGACCUCGAAGUUGCCGAUCCAAAUUAUCUCAACUGACCUUUUACGACCUCGAACUGACAUUUUACGCUAUACAUGGUGGACCUUCAGUUUGAUACAAGGUUUGUCAUACCCGUAAUUUUGUACCCUUGCACCCCAAGAAUGAAAAUAGGGAAAUUCUCACGAGCCAACAACCAUCUACUUACGCAACACAGGCUAAGUGAUCGUGAUAACUUUUAGUAACUCUGCAUAUUUAUUUUAUCUUACCAUACUGUGUCCAUAGUCUUGUGGUCCUAAGAAGGCGAGUUGCUUGUUCUACUCUAUCCAUUUCCUGUUGGUUACCAUGAGUAGUUCUGUAUGUAUAUACCAUUGAAAGACUUGAUUCCUUUCUGUUUAACUUGUUAGUCUUCGUAAUUUAUUUGUAUUUUAGUUACUGGAGCUUGUCCAGAUGUUGCUGCUGCAUCAUACUAACCUCUCGUGGAAAGUUGGAUUCGUCUAUGAGGAUUACUGGAGGCAGAUCUUCAUAUCUAAUGAAGUUGCAGACAAGUUAUGAUUGUCAAUGCCAUUUUCGAUCUUGAGAAACGUUGCUAGUGUCUUGAUAUAUACCAAAACCUGAAUUGAAGAAUUAAAUUGUUCAUGUUGAUAUAUUCUGUAAGGUGCAGGCGUUGUGUCGAGGAAGCCUGGUUAGUUAGGCAAUUUCAGCUUGCCGAUUGCCUGAUUAAAUUGCAUUAUGUAAGAUUAGAGAAUCCAGCGUACGGUUUUUUCAUAGCUUAAAAUGCUAUGAAGACCGACUUAUUAUGAACUGUGAUCCAAUUUAUUGAAUACUCCCUCCGUCCGGAAAUACUUGUCGCAUAAAUGGAUGAAAAUGGAUGUAUCUAGAAUUAAAAGUACAUCUAGAUACAUUCAUUUCAAUGACAAGUAUUUUCGGACGGAGGGAGUAUUUUUUUACAGUUCUUUGGAAUUCUUAUUUUUAUGCUUAACAAGAAUAUGCUGAAUGUCGUUCUAAUUUAUCUUUAGUAAGCAGGCAAAUUCAAAUUGGCUGAAUGUUGUUUCAAGUUAGAUUGGAUUGGAGAAUCUGCAUGGCUGGCUUAUUCAAAGUGGGUUUGUCAUUCAAAUUCAAUUGGAUUGGAGAAUCUUGGGGCUGUGCUUGAGUCUGAAAUAGCUUUGAGCUGAAUAUUUUUCAAUUUAGAAGAUAAAAGAUGAAUAAAUGGUUGAUCUUCAGCUCUGAACUGGAAAGAGCAUUCCAGCAAACAAAUUGCUGGGAAUGAUGGUUCGACUCCAUCAAGAUCCUUCGUAAAAAGAAAUGGGAUGUAAAUUUGAUCACUCGCCAUUCUAUCCUCAUGGUGCCGAAGAAAUUCUAGACGUGUGUAUUCAAGGAUCGGUGGACAAUGACUUUUAUUGCAUGGCACUAUCUGUUCUCCGUAAAAAGGGCGCAUAAUCUGGCCUUGAAGCGUAAGGAGCACAAGGAGGAUUGUCGGCAAUCAAGUAGAGGCGUGAAUGGGGAUAGGGAGUUUUGGAAUGUCAUAUAGAAGGCCAAUGUCUUUUAGAAGAUCAGAAUUUUGUUUGGCAUGCGACAUCUAAUAACCUGGCGAUCCAGGUGAAUAGAGUUAUGCACCAUCUGGCUGCUCCGGGUAUGUACUCUAUAUUUGUGGGGUGGAAGAUGAAAGCAUGUCCCAUGCUCUGAUGGCUUGCCCCGAGGAGAGCUCUACGCAUGGAGUUGAAGGAAGUUUGGAAUAUUCUGGGGAGUGAAAUCUUCAACUUCUCAAGUCUCGAUUGGAUGCUUCUCUUGUUGGAUCAGUUAACCUCAACAUACCUUAUUCAUAUUCUAGGGAGCUUGGCACUUAAGAAAUGAUCUAAUUGUUUGAUAAGGGUAACCAUUUUGUUUCAAACUUUGCUAAUCUUGUGGAUAACUAGUGGUUGUCGUUCUUGUCUUACCAUUCCAAUGUAGAGUCGGUCCCAGUGUCAAAGUUAAAGUAGUAGUGGAUGGGAUAAGUACACCUCGUAGUAUUCAUGAGGUAUGACAACCUCCACCUUUGGAUUGUAAUAAGAUAAAUGUGGAUGCUAAUUUUGUGGAAUCGGUCCCCAGCGUCGAAGGUAUAGUAGUGGAUGGGAUAAGUACUCCUUGUAGUAUUCAUGAGGUAUGAUAACCUCCGCCUUUGGAUUGUAUUAAGAUAAAUGUGGAUGCUAAUUUUGUUGA